AACCCACUUCUGUCUGGCUUGGAGUCCUCACUGAGGCCCAGAAGGCCACGAACACACCAAGGCAAACAUGUUAAGACACACAAUGCCCAGAUCCAGGAGCACAUACACCA